rnacentral:rRNA from 1 species
AUUGAACGCUGGCGGCAUGCCUUACACAUGCAAGUCGAACGGCAGCACGGGAGCAAUCCUGGUGGCGAGUGGCGAACGGGUGAGUAAUACAUCGGAACGUGCCCAAUAGUGGGGGAUAGCCCGGCGAAAGCCGGAUUAAUACCGCAUACGACCUACGGGUGAAAGCGGGGGAUCGCAAGACCUCGCGCUACUGGAGCGGCCGAUGUCGGAUUAGCUAGUUGGUGGGGAAAGGCCUACCAAGGCUACGACCCGUAGCUGGUCUGAGAGGACGACCAGCCACACUGGGACUGAGACACGGCCCAGACUCCUACGGGAGGCAGCAGUGGGGAAUUUUGGACAAUGGGCGCAAGCCUGAUCCAGCCAUGCCGCGUGCGGGAAGAAGGCCUGGUGUAACG